rnacentral:rRNA from 1 species
AGUGAACGCUGGCGGUAGGCCUAACACAUGCAAGUCGAACGGCAGCACAGUAAGAGCUUGCUCUUACGGGUGGCGAGUGGCGGACGGGUGAGGCAUACAUCGGACUCUACUUUUUCGUGGGGGCUAACGUAGGGAACCUUACGCUAAUACCGCAUACGACCUACGGCUGAAAGCAGGGGAUCUUCGGACCUUUCGCGUUUGACUGAGCCGAUGUGGGAUUAGCUAGUUGGCGGGGUAAAGGCCCACCAAGGCGACGAUCCGUAGCUGGUCUGAGAGGAUGAUCAGCCACACUGGAACUGAGACACGGUCCAGACUCCUACGGGAGGGAGCAGGGGGGAAUAUUGGACAAAGGGCGCAAGCCUGAUCCAGCCAUAGCGCGUGGGGGAAGAAGGCCUUCGGGUUGUAAAGCCCUUUUGUUGGGAAAGAAAAGCAGCAGGUGAAUACCCCGCUGUUCUGACGGUACCCAAAGAAGAAGCACCGGCUAACUUCGUG